AGGAAGGAGAGCAGGGAGAAAAAUAGGUUUUAUAUGUGUGUGUGUAUGUAUAUAUAUGCACAUAUAUAUAAUAUACACACACACAUAUAUGAAAGUAAGCAACCACUAUACGUGGUCAGAUUUUUUUUUUUUUGUCUGUGUUUUCUUUAAUUGCUGCCCCUAAUUAAUGUAACGUCCCUCUCUCCACGCUUCUCUUCAUCUCCCCCCCACCCGAGCGCUCUCUCUGUGCCGCACAGCGGUCCCCUCUCGCCGCACUCUGUCGGGCGCUGAGCACAGCUCUACACACCCCGUAUCGUCUCCUCGGAUUAAUGUCCGGGCUGCGAAGUACCUUUUUUAAUACCCAGAAAAAUGCUUAAAGUCCCCUUGUCCAGUCCGGUCUGAGAGCGAAGAGAUACACCAGCCCUGACGGCUCCGACUACGCUGCUUUUGCCUCCGGGACACCGCGUGCCUAUUCGGAUCUGUGCUGACAGCGGGUGAGACCCGCAGAGCGCAGAGUUACACGGGGCUCUCCGAGCUGGUAACCAAACUUUGGCACCGCUUCGUGCGGAUGGAGCACCGCACCGGCGGGAUAAGGCCGAGUGGAGCGGCUCUUUAAAUGCCGUUGUCUGGGACGAGCAGCAGCCGAGCUCCGUUCUCCAGCGCAGAGCGGGUUUGAUUACAGACCGAGAGAGGGGAGGCUUAUGAUCCCGCACCUCGGGACCCUCAAAGCCUUUCCCCAAUGCACUUCCAACGGCCGAGCUGUCCGGGGCCGCCCGUGAGCUCCGCACACCGCCCAGCACCGGGCCGCUCUACCCCGCGUACGGCGCCGGCAGCGGCUGUCGCUCCCUCUGCCCGGCCCUCGGCACGUCGCGCUCGGAAACAAGUUGAAAUCGCGGCGUUCCCCGUCUGGGAAGCCCGAAAGUUGGGUUAAAGGGAUGUAAUGGUCGCAAACGUCCUCCCUCGGCCGAACCCCACGCCCGAUCCCGUAUCUCUCAGUGCCGCCGCGCCAUACGUCAGCGGGAUGCGCAUAUAAAAGCGGCUCUGGUCAGAGGUAAUUAUGUCACAGCUUUCUCCCGGCGUGACAGCUGGAUAAACACCGUCCCCAUAAACAUCUCUAAUUAGGGAGGAGGAUCUCACAGAGAUGCUGUUUGAUUUAUUGCUGCCGGAGAAUGUCCAUUUACCGCGAUAUCGCCGCUCAGCAGCGGCGAGGAGCGCCCGAGGACGCCUCGCACAGCAGAACUUGAGCAAUAAUAAUAAGCACAUCAGAACCGCUUGUUUACUGCGGCGAUGUGCGGGCUGCGGGGCCGGGACCGCUGCGGGAAACGGUGUAACCUGAAGGAAACCCUCUAGAACGGGGGAAUAUGGCAGUGGAAGGGCUGCUGCGCCUCGCGAGGAGGGAGCUCGGUGAGCGCUUGGCUGGGACGUGCGCCCGUGCGUAAGGACCGCGCUCAGCCCCGCUGCGGCGACUCGGAUUUGAGCCGCUUUCGCCUCGUUCUUUGCCGUCCCGACGGAGCCCGACAGCCCCGCAACCUCGAACAAAACCCGCGGGGUCGGCACCGAAAGGCCUUUUAGUGCCGCGCUUCGGGUCCCGCCGGGCGGGGCUGAGCCCGGUGUGCGGAGUCCGGGGCGGCUGCGGGACCGCUGCGGGCAGAGGCGCGUCCCGAGGACGUGCUCUAAUCCAAAGGAAGCUUCGCUUCGAAAAAGAAACGCAGCCGUAAAUCAGCUCUUUGCGCUUCGUGGCUGAGCGUUAUCUCCGCGUUGUUUUGGGUUUGUUUUUUUUUUUUCCCUCUCGAGGACUCUUAAUGGUAUUAAUUUGGCCAAAAAAACUUGAGCUCGGGCUGUCUGGAAUGAUCUCCCUUCUCCCUCCUCCCGAACAUUUCCAUAAUAACCGCGACUCGGGACCCCGCUCGGGCCGUGCGCCUCCCUCGCCCCGCGCAGCCCCGACGCGGGCUGCAUUCCCCGGGGGUGAUGGGAUGCAAUCCGCCGAGAGCCGACAGGCACGUCCUGGAUGUUAGGGACGCACCGCUCCUCAACGUGACAAGGCUGAGUUCGAUCUACAAUUGUAUUUGAAAGGGCAAUGAGCGGAAAGAUCUCCCGUCAUUAAAGCCUCCCUCUCCGCUCGCGCAAUAACGAGACCCUUCAUUUGCACACAAACGCUCGGGAAAAGAGCCGUAAAGUCCCGCACCGGCCCGACCGCGCCGCGGAGCGCCCGCGGGGAGGGGGCGGCGGUGCGGAGGUCCCAACGCGCCCAUGUGACCGCGGUGACUUUUUACUUUAAAUCUUGAAUAAGACGUGAGUUGUAACAAGGGGAUUUGCACUUACUCCGUGACCCCUGUAAUUGGAUUAAAUAUAGACCGAGACGUACAAAAACAGAGCGAGAUUGACACCUGCCAACUGGACUUCCUUAUGAUUGAUCGUGAUGCUUCGUGCCGGCAACAAUAAUGAAAUAAAUUGUAUGGAUAAAGGCGCGCAUUUGUCAUUUCCGCGCGGGGCGAGGGGAAGGCAGUGCGAGGCGAGCUGCUCGCUGACAGACGGAGCGGGGCGCCGAGCUGCAGCGCCGUGCGCGGACCCCAGACGUUGACGAGACAAAUUAUAACUUGUCACAACCUCUUAAAAUUCAGAACUUUUCAAUUAACACACAGAUUGCCGCCGAGCUGCGCGGCUGUGCCCCUGCACCGCGGCCGCGGGGAUCACACGCAGCCUCCGCGCCUCCUGCGC